rnacentral:rRNA from 1 species
UACGUAGGCAGCGAGCGUUGUUCGGAGUUACUGGGCGUAAAGGGUGCGUAGGCGGGUCUUUAAGUCAGGGGUGAAAUCCUGGAGCUCAACUCCAGAACUGCCUUUGAUACUGAAGAUCUUGAGUUCGGGAGAGGUGAGUGGAACUGCGAGUGUAGAGGUGAAAUUCGUAGAUAUUCGCAAGAACACCAGUGGCGAAGGCGGGUUGCUGGGCUGAUACUGACGCUGAGGCGCGAAAGCUAGGGGAGCGAACGGG